AUGUCUCGGUUGGAUCCGGGAGCGAUGACGAGUGGAGAUUUACUGGUUUCUACGGCGAACCACGCUGGGAGGAAGCACUUGUCGUGGGGAUUUAUGCGGGAAUUGUAUCUGCAAGAUCGCCUCCCCUGGGUUGUCAUUGGAGAUUUUAAUGAAGUUCUAUAUACUCAUGAAAAGGAGGGUGGGGCACCUCGACCGGUAAGAAUGAUGGAAAACUUUCGCGAAGCUUUGGUGGAUUGUGAACUUGAGGACGUGGGGUAUUCGGGAAAUCAAUUUACUUGGAGAAGGAGAAGGCUACGGGAGAGGCUGGAUCGGGCUGUAUGCAAUGGACAGUUUCAUGCAUUAUUUCUGUAUGCAAAGAUUACUAACACCUCUCAUACCAAGUCAGAUCAUAGGCCCAUUCUCUUGGACACAGAAGGAGAUGUGGUAGGAGAUAAUUUCAGAGCCAGAAUUAAGCAAUUUGAGGCAAGGUGGCUCAAGGAAGAUGACGUUGUCCAGCUUGUACAGGAAGAGUGGGAACGGACGAGUCCUAAUGCGCCGUUGGCUGUUCGCACAGCGGCUAUCCAUUCUGCGAUGCAUGUUUGGGACAAGGAGAUUCUUAAGGCGCCACAGAAGCGUCUCAAAGAGCUAAAGGCGGAGUUGGAAAUGCUGAGGUUAGGCCCCCUCACUUACGAGGCGGCGGAUCGGCAUCGUACACUGAUAGAAAUCGAAGAGAAUCUUGAGAAAGAAGAAAUAUAUUGGGUACAGAGAAGUAGGGCCAACUGGUUCAAAUUUGGUGAUAGAAAUACUAAUUUCUUCAACAUUUUUGCAACUGCUCGUAAGAAGAGAAACCAUAUUAGGUGCCUAAUGAAUGAUGGCGGCAACUGGUGUCGGAUUUCUGGUUCCGGCAAAACCCUCGAGGUUCGAACACUGGGGUACGCACGAAGAUCUCUCCCUUCCCUAGCUCACCCACUCCCCACGAUCCCAAGGCUCAGCAAAUCGAAGUCGCAGAACAAAGGACACAGGGUUUAUACCGGUUCGAGCCACCAAUGUGGUGUAACACCCUACUCCCGUGUGGUGUGA
rnacentral:rRNA from 1 species